UCUUUCUCAUACCAGGGACCCCAGAGCUGGAUGCAGUACUGCAGGUGGGGUCUCACCAGGAGCAUAGAUGAGACACCACCUGGGAAAACCAGGAUCAAGCGAAGUUGGAAAGGAGCAAAUCCCUGUGUAAACAUCAAUAUCGUCAAUUAAUUAGGAAACACAGCAAGAUAAAUAAUAAGACCCCAUGAAAGGAUGAAUCUGUGUAUUGAAGUUGACAUGAAGGACAAUUCCACAGAUGACGGGAUUUGGGAGAGUAUCACAGUUAAGACUAUCUAUGGAAGACUGGAGGACACUGGC